UAUGCAGACUGCCUUAUCGUCGGCUUUAUUAUAAAGCGGGAGGAAAGUCCGGACACCACAGGGUAGCAUAAUGGGUAACACCCAUCCGUAGCUUUGCUAUGAGGACAAGUGCAACAGAAAGUAUGUACAGGUAAUGCUGUAGUGAAACCAGGUAAACUCUAUGCGGUGAAAUGCCAUGUAUAUUUAGCGUUUGAGGGCGACUCGUCCGAUGCUUUAGGGGUAGGCAGAUGGAGCCAUUGAGUAAUUGAUGGCCUAGAUAAAUGAUAAGGGGAUACUUUUUUGAGUAUUUACAGAAUCCGGCUUAUAGGUCUGCAUUUUUU
rnacentral:RNase_P_RNA from 3 species